CCAAGAUUGGGCCACUGCACUCCAGUCUGGGUGAUAGAGUGAGACCCUAUCUCAAAGAAAAAAAAGUAGGCAAGGAACUUUAUUGGUGAUAUUCUUCACAAACCCUCAGCAGUUUCCUGCACCUGCAACUCCUCAGGUACUAUAGUCAUGUUUUCUUGUAUUCCAGUGUCUGGAAUUUAUUCCUUCUGGUGGAUUCUUGGUCUUGCUGACUUCAAGAAUGAAGCCGCGGACACUCGCGAAAUCCUUGCUCUGAUCUGCCUGACUUCAGAGUGUAAACUCUUAAAUACACAGUCUGCUGCUUCUCCAGAUCAAGGUACAACAGCAGGUUCUUUUCUGAUUCCGCAAAGUCCUGCAUGGGGUGGAGGCAGAGACAGAAGAGAAUGUAAACACUGGGUUCCACCCCCUGGAAAUUAAGGGAAGACCCCUUACCCAGAUAGGGACUGAUUGGAGAGGUGGAAGGGAACAAGGUGAAAGGUAGGGGUCCUGGUAAGAGAAAGCAGGGGGGCCUGAGAACACAGAGGAAAGUGGUUGAGAAAUGUUCUCUCAUAUGCUCUUUAAGAAAAGCAAAUGCCCCUUUUUUUUUGUCCCAGAAAGCAUGUCUCUUUAUCUAGAAUUAGGCCAUGUGCCCACUCCUGAAACAGUAGCUAUGACCAAGGGAUGAGAUUUUGCCCAAUACCUCAGGCCUGGCUUGCAUGUGCCAUUCCUAGGGCCAGGAGUGGAGUCAGAAUCCUCAAAUGACAUGCUACACAUGAGGAGGGUGUCCACACUCAAGUAAAAUUGGGAUGGAUACCAAGAGAAGGGGUUACGUUCCCUUCUCACAAUGCCUCUGUUCAAGUACUACGGGCUUUUAGAAUUUGCCAUACUGUACCCCCACCCCAGCCUACCUCACCCUGGUCUCUCUGAGGAGGGGCCUUUUACUUCUCUGAAUGACCUGUGGUACUGAUUUUCUGCAUUUUUCAAAUUUUCAAUCAUCCUACUUGUUAAUUUACUUUCUGCAGAUGCUGUCAUCUCCCUGCUCUGCUAUGUCUUCAUUCCUCACAGUACCUGAACACAAAGCUGUGGUGUUAUCAGACUUUAACUGAAGGUUUGGGGUCCCGAAGAGGAUUAUAACAUAGCACAAAACUCAAAAUUGAACAUUGAUGAUGUCAUUAUGAAUAUCCAAAAGUUCCCUGACCAAACUCAUUUUAAGGACUGCGGUAAUUUAAAAGAUCACCCUGGGGGAAGCCAGCUACCAUGUAAUGAAGGUACUCAAGCAGCCCUGGGAAAGAACCAUGUGAAAAGAAACUGGGGCCUCCCACCAAUAGCCAGCAUCAACUUGCCAGCCAUGCAUGCCAUCUUGGAAAGAUAUCUCCUAGUUCCAGCUAAGACUUUAGCCGCCUAUAACCCCAGCUGACAUCUUGUUUGCAACCUCAUGAGAAGAUCCUUAGUUGAGGGGCAACCAAACUCCUGACCCACAGAAAUUGUGAGAGAUAAUAAUGCUUAUUGCUAUUUUAAGCUGCAAAGUUUUGGAGUAAUUUGCUAUGUAGCAACAGAUAAGUAAUACAGAGAGUCUCUCAUGGGCCGUUUUCUUCCGUC
rnacentral:lncRNA from 1 species